UUGGCUUCAAUUUAUAUGAGGUUUUUGCUUACACCUUUUUAGUUGUGUUUGGCAAUGUUGAAUUGAAGCUGAGAGUUGUGUUCCCCUCGCUAUCCGAUGCUGCAAUAUUGAUGCUUCAUUUGGACGUCGGGGAACAAAAUCU